AUUGAACGCUGGCGGCAGGCCUAACACAUGCAAGUCGAACGGUAACAGGGAUCAGCUUGCUGAUUCGCUGACGAGUGGCGGACGGGUGAGUAAUGUCUGGGAAACUGCCUGAUGGAGGGGGAUAACUACUGGAAACGGUAGCUAAUACCGCAUAACGUCGCAAGACCAAAGAGGGGGACCUUCGGGCCUCUUGCCAUCGGAUGUGCCCAGAUGGGAUUAGCUAGUAGGUGGGGUAACGGCUCACCUAGGCGACGAUCCCUAGCUGGUCUGAGAGGAUGACCAGCCACACUGGAACUGAGACACGGUCCAGACUCCUACGGGAGGCAGCAGUGGGGAAUAUUGCACAAUGGGCGCAAGCCUGAUGCAGCCAUGCCGCGUGUAUGAAGAAGGCCUUCGGGUUGUAAAGUACUUUCAGCGGGGAGGAAGGGAGUAAAGUUAAUACCUUUGCUCAUUGACGUUACCCGCAGAAGAAGCACCGGCUAACUCGGUG
rnacentral:rRNA from 1 species